UUCAACUUGGAUGUUGGCAUGAGGAACUGCAGCAUUCUUCAAGUCCUCCCCUGUGGCUGUCGCCUCUGGACAAGGAAUGUGCCAAGUGAGAAAAUAACCAGUGUUCAGCCAGCAGGAAAACAUGAGUUAUUUGUUAUAGAAAAUGAGGAUGCAGAGAUGACAUUCUGUUGCUAAAAAAGUCUAGAAAACAAACAAAAAUAGCACAUCACAAGACAAGAUUUGCCUCCUGCCCAGAGGCCAGAGUCAGUGAAGCUUUUGGUGUGCACAUAACUCUAAGCAUAAUGCAACAGGAAAGCCAAUGUUACACAGUGAGACAGUUGUUAUACUCCCAAAAGGACUACAAAGCUUGUCAAACAUUAAAAUAAUUGAAAUUC